rnacentral:rRNA from 1 species
GAUGAACGCUAGCUACAGGCUUAACACAUGCAAGUCGAGGGGCAGCAUGAACUUAGCUUGCUAAGUUUGAUGGCGACCGGCGCACGGGUGAGUAACACGUAUCCAACCUGCCGAUGACUCGGGGAUAGCCUUUCGAAAGAAAGAUUAAUACCCGAUAGUAUAAUGAAACCGCAUGGUCUUAUUAUUAAAGGAUUCCGGUAAAGGAUGGGGAUGCGUUCCAUUAGGUUGUUGGUGAGGUAACGGCCCACCAAGCCUUCGAUGGAUAGGGGUUCUGAGAGGAAGGUCCCCCACAUUGGAACUGAGACACGGUCCAA